rnacentral:rRNA from 1 species
UACGUAGGGAGCAAGCGUUGUCCAGAAUCAUUGGGCGUAAAGAGCGCGUAGGCGGUCCGGUAAGUCGGUUGUGAAAACUGGGGGCUCAACCCUCAGAGGCCGACCGAUACUGCCGGGCUAGAGUCCGGAAGAGGCGAGUGGAAUUCCUGGUGUAGCGGUGAAAUGCGCAGAUAUCAGGAGGAACACCAAUGGCGAAGGCAGCUCGCUGGGACGGUACUGACGCUGAGGCGCGAAAGCGUGGGGAGCAAACAGG